AUGGAAACCUCCACGCAGAACGUGAGAAGCGGCGGAGUAAUGGAGGGCGAGGCGCCGGCGUGCGUGUCCAAGGUGCUCGACGAGGACAACCUCCUCCGAGAGAUCAUCGUCCGCGUCGGCUUCCCCACCAGCCUCGUCCGCGCCGCCGGCGUCUGCACGCGCUGGCUCAGCCACGCCUCCGACCGCGCGCUCCUCCGCCGUUUCCGCGAGCUCCACCCGCCCAGGCUCCUCGGCUUCUACCUCGCGAACAGGGAGCGUCCGGGCGGCGCGCGCUUCUUCCCGGCGCUGCCUCUGCCCCCGGAUCUCGCCGCCGUCGUCCGCCGCGCAAGCUUCAGCCUGGACACCGCACGCCGCUCCGCAGGCUUCAGCCCCGACACCCACUCGGACGGGCGGACCGACGUGGUGGGCUGCUGGAACGGCAGCGUCCUCACCAGCUCGCAGGGGCAGAAUUACGCGCACGGUCGAUCUGAAAUCAUAUUUGAAGUGCACAGCCCGCUAUGCUCCGGCUCCGAGAAAGGUGCGGCCAUCAUCCCAGCACUACACCUCAAAGUCCAGGAUGGAAUCUGCAGGCUUAUUAGACAACUCUUCUUCAGAGAAGAAGGGGAUGGAUUCUCCUACUUUUUUGUCACGGUGGAGUGUACCAGGUAUCAUGAAGAUUCUCAAGUGCAUGUGUAUAUGCUGCAAAAUGGUGAUGAUGCCUGGCGCCUGCAUCUCACCUUGGCCUCCGACCUCCUCCUGUAUCCACGCAAAAGCCCCAAAGGCGUGCUCGUUGACAACAGAAUCUAUUUGCCGACCGACAAUGAAAUUGUUGUCCUGGAUUUGGUGUCCUCAAGCUUAUCGACAAUUCAGCUCCCACAAGGGGUGGGUUUUAGUCCGAUAGGCACCACCAUGUUGUCACGGGCUGAUGAUUCUUCUGGUGUAUAUCUCAUCCAUAUCAAGGACCUUCAACUUAGCAUCUGGCUCCACAAUGGGGACAACUGGUUGCUGGUGGACACCAUUUGCUUGUGUGAAAUAUCUGAUAAUUUGUUUGACGAUGAGCCUACUGAUGAGAUCCUGAUAAACCAUGUGGGGGACUAUAAUGAGUUUGUGUUCUUGGAGAUGGGUCGAUGUGCACUCUACUUGGAUGUCAAACGCAGGACGCUGCGUAAAGUGUAUGAGAUGACAACAGAGGAGCAACAGUUGGGUGAUAUCUAUCCUCUUAUGAUGAGCUGGCUUCCCAGUUUCCCUGCGCUCAUGGAUAGUCCUGCAAGGAAUGCCACGUGA
rnacentral:rRNA from 1 species